rnacentral:lncRNA from 1 species
AGGAGAUAAAUAAUAUACAAGUAUAACAAACAUACGAUAUGCACAAAUAAUAAAACAAAAGAAUAAGAUCAAAAUAGCCUAAGGUUUGCCUAACAUCAAUAAUAUACAUAAUUAAACAUAUUCAAACUCCAUUGGAAUAACUUCAUUGGGAAGCAACUCUGGGGUACCUGUAAAGACACUUAGUAAAAGUGUUAGUAAUAAAUAAAUAUGAAUAAAAAUAAAUGAAUUAAAUAAUAACUUAAAAAUAAAAACCCGUCGUAUUAACAUGGAGGCCUUGGAAAUCGACGGUAAUUUCUUCAUCGGCCAUUUUUAACAAACAAAAUAUAAACAUAAACUAAA